rnacentral:rRNA from 1 species
AAACUGAAGAGUUUGAUCAUGGCUCAGAUUGAACGCUGGCGGCAGGCCUAACACAUGCAAGUCGA